AAAAAAAAAACCCAAAUAUAUCACACUAGAAGACACAAAAGACGCCUAUUAAGCAUGCAUUAGAAUUCGAAACUAUUCGAUUCGUAAGAUUGAUUAGUAUUGAAAGUUUGAGAUAAUUGCAUGAAACAUUUUUCUCCACGAAUUUCAAAAUUGAACUAAAUAAUUUUCCACAAUUCAAAUCAGAACCACAAAAUCGUGCUGCUAAAAGGAAUGUAAGAAUAUUUGCACAUACAUACCUUUAAAUAUCAUAAACUGCUUUCUAGUAUUCUAGUUGAUAGAGAAAAUUACUUAAUUACACGCCUAAAUGGCUUUGUACAAAAUGAUUCCAACGUGCAACCAGUAGUAUAAAAUCAAAAGAAAAUCACAGAAACACCAAACAAUCUAUUUAACUAUAAAAGAAAAAUCCAAACUUGAUUGGCACCCAACGAGACAAUACAGAUCGGAGUCGAUGGGUAGAAGAGAGCUUAGGGUUUUUUGAUGAUGUUUUUUUUGAGGGGGUGAGGACAGUACAGUUGAUGGGAUCCUUCGCAAGCCAAACGAAUAAAGCGUGUGUCUGAACCAAUAAAUCGCUAUUUCCCUGUUCGUCAUUUUAUCAUCUCUAAUUCUCUUAACAAGACACGUUUCCCAGAAAGUAAAAUUGCAAAUUUAUCAUCCAAUAUUUUGUGUGGUCUGCAUCUCAACCUCGGAAAACUUAGCAAUAUCAACGAUCUAUGUGGUUUCCAUAUCCAAAUCAUGUCUUACGUCGAGUCCCAACAUUGGCAAACGGUUGGGGACUAAAGUUGCAAUUUAUGUAUGAAUGUUCACUUUAUUGUUAUUAGUUCAUCAAUUACAAAAGUAUCUUGGAA
rnacentral:lncRNA from 1 species